CCCCUCCCUCCAGGCUUCAGUAAAAAAAAGUCCCCUGUUGGCUUCGCUCGAAAAAGGACAAAAAGUCCAUCCCCACCAGGCUACACAUCCAGAUGCGCCACCGCACCACCGCCUCCGAUUCGCAGCCGGGGAUGGAAGAUGUCGUUGCUGACCUUCACAGAAGAUGCAAGCCCUAAUCAUGGAGAUCCGGGGUGGACCAAGAAGCAGGGUCGAACUCUUUGAGUUGGGUGUUAGGUCGUUGGUAGCAGGCCAUCCAUGUCUUGGCGGCAUUGAGAACAAAAAAAUGGUUGCUGGAGGGAGGCUGAUUGUGAUGGAUCUGAGCAGAGGAGACACACCGGCCAUGGUCCAUGAGAAGUAUGUAUCGGAGUAUAUCCGUAUAAGCAUAUUGGGGGAGAAAUAGCUAUUUGCAACCUUUUUAGUUGCUCAUGUUUUUGGAUUUGUACCAAUGUAAGUGUUGUACUUCAUUGUGUCCUUUCUAAUGCAGAUUAUCUUAUGUGCUUCCUUCUAGGAUAUUAUAUUAAUCUUGUGUUUUAGGAGAUGGUUAUGCUAUUGAAGAUUUUCUCAUGGACUUCUUAAAUUGAAAAGGCC
rnacentral:rRNA from 1 species